rnacentral:rRNA from 1 species
AAUGAACGUUGGCGGCGUGGAUUAGGCAUGCAAGUCGUACGAGAAUCGUAGCAAUACGAGGAAAGUGGCGGAAGGGAGAGGAUUACGUGGGAAUCUACCCUCAGAACUGGGAUAGCGGCGGGAAACUGCCGGUAAUACCAGAUAAUGUCUGUGGACCAAAGGUGUGAUUCCGUCUGGGGAUGAGCCCACGUCCUAUUAGCUAGUUGGCAGGGUAAUGGCCUACCAAGGCAAUGAUGGGUAGCGGGUGUGAGAGCAUGACCCGCCUCACUGGGACUGAGAACUGCCCAGACACCUACGGGUGGCUGCAGUCGAGAAUCUUCGGCAAUGAGCGCAAGCUUGACCGAGCGACGCCGCGUGCGGGAUGAAGGCCUUCGGGUUGUAAACCGCUGUCGUAGGGGAGCAAGAGAUGAGGGUACUCCCUCUGAUUUGAGCGAUCCUAGGAGGAAGGACGGGCUAAGUUCGUGCCAGCCGCCGCGGUAAUAC